AUGGCUCUUUGGCCUUUGGCAAAGAUCAAAGUGUAGAAUCCAUUCAUAUCGUAGAGGUAUCUGAUACAUUCUCUAUCUGAGGACAAUGUAUUAUGAGGAUUUUUGGAUUAGGAGCAUGGUCCGGUCCACUUCACCCAUGGAUCUGGCAUUCUAGUGCUAACCUUCUCACUGGACCUUUA
rnacentral:snRNA from 1 species